rnacentral:rRNA from 1 species
GACGAACGCUGGCGGCGUGCUUAACACAUGCAAGUCGAGCGGUAAGGCCCUUCGGGGUACGACGAGCGGCGAACGGGUGAGUAACACGUGGGUGACCUGCCCUCCACUCUGGGAUAAGCCUGGGAAACUGGGUCUAAUACCGGAUAUGACCUUCGCAUGCAUGUGCGGUGGUGGAAAGACCUGUGUCUUAGAUGCUGGCGGUGGGGGAGUGGGCCGCGGUCUAUCAGCNGUUGGUGGGGUGGAUGG